UGCGCUACCAGCUGAUCCGAGUGAGAAGCCGGGAGUGAGAGACGGGUAUUCGGACAAGAGACCUAAAAAGCCGACCAACCACUACUUUCAUCCGCUGUGUUUAAACCACGAAAAGUUUUGUGUGCUAACCACUGCACCAAACAGGGACACCUGUUGCCAAAGGGAUGGCAUGAAGUCCUGGCCCACAUCUGCGGAGUA